rnacentral:rRNA from 1 species
UACAGAGGAGCCAAGCGUUGUCCGGAUUGACUGGGCGUAAAGCGCACGCAGGCGGACGCGCGCGUGGGGUGUGAAAUCUGGCCGCUUAACGGCCAGGCGCCAUCCCAUACGGCGCGUCUGGAGUGAUGCAGAGGUCGGUGGAAUUGCCGGUGUAGUGGUGAAAUGCGUAGAGAUCAGGAAGAACACCCGUGGCGCAAGCGGCCACCUGGCUGCCAACUGACGCUGAGGCACGAGAGCGUGGGGAGCGAACCGG